rnacentral:rRNA from 1 species
UACGUAGGCGGAAAAUUAAGUCAGUAGUGAAAUCCUGCAGCUUAACUGUAGAACUGUUAUUGAUACUGGUUUCCUUGAAUAUUGUUGAGGUAGGCGGAAUGUGUAAUGUAGCGGUGAAAUGCUUAGAUAUUACACAGAACACCGAUUGCGAAGGCAGCUUACUAAGCAAUUAUUGACGCUGAGGUACGAAAGCGUGGGGAGCGAACAGGAUUAGAUACCCUGGUAGUCC